rnacentral:lncRNA from 1 species
UUCUUAUGCCUGUCUUUACUGCAAUCUUGGAACAUAAAUUCUUUCUGGAACAAUGUCAAAAGUCAUUCAUUUGGGGGGAACUCAUUCUCUACAAGCAAACUACAAAGCCUUUGCGUGAAGACAGAGGAUAUCUGGAAUUUGAUUGUAUUUCUCACACUGUCUAGUGCUAAUUACAACACACAGAUAUUCAAUCAAAACAUAUUUGCCACUGAAAAUAUCCUCUGGUCAUUUAUUUGGCUCAACGGACCUAUAUGGCCAUUCCCUCUUCCACAGUUGUAAAGACUUUGCCUAAUUUCUGGCAACUAUAGAAGUAGUGGAAUGAACCAGAAUAUGAAGGAUGAAAAGCAUCAGGGAGAAACACUUCUUCAAAUCUCUACUUGAAGAAGACUAAGUGUUCUUGUUUUUCUUUAAUAGAAAUACAUCCAGGAAAAAAAAAAAAAGAGAAAGUGAAGUAUGUUUUAACUAAACAAGGAAAUAUUAAAGAUCGCAUAGGAUAUAGGAAACAUUUUUCAUCCAGCGUCUGACUACAAUCAUGGUUAUGCCUUAAGAAAUUAACUUAGCAAUAGAGGAGAAGACAAGUUAUAUGUAGAAGAAGAUUAACAACAGGUUGAUACAAUCACCCAAACAAGAGAUUAAUACAGCAAAUCUCAGAGAAAUAUCUUGUCCACUGUCAAACAGUUGAUAAGAAGCCAAACCUGACUUUGAGCCCAGAACUUGGAUCAUUCUCAGUGCUGUUUGGAGAAGAGUCUUUAGAAGUGCAAUGGUGGAGAAUGGAGAUCACUUAAGAUACUACUGAAAUUCUCCAAGCUGCUAGAAGUAAAGGUGGUAAGAUGUAAUUGAAUCUUAGGUAUAUUUUGAAAUUUGGUGAUUGAUUCAAUGUAGAAAGUGAAAGAAAGAUGUUUCAAGGACCACACCAGCUUUGGAGCCUGAAUAACUGGUAUAAUGGAGUUGGCAUGUAUUGAGUUGGGGAGACUGUGAAAAGAGCACGUUUGGAACGAGUAUUGAGAGUUUUUCUUUGGACAUGCUAAUUCUAAGAUGCCUAAUAGACUGUCAAGCAAUUUUAGUAGUCAUUUGGGUAAAAAGUCUAAUACAAGGAAUAAGUCUCAAUUGGAAAUAUAAAUUUGUAAUCACCAAAUUUACAGAUGAUUUGUAAAGACAUGAGAGUGCAUAUAAUUUAUUCAGACAGCAUAGAUAGAGAAGAUGUGGAAACCAUACCAAAAUUUAAAGUUGGUGAAUAAAGGGGGACCAGCAUUUUUAAAAAAAUUAAAAUAAUUGAUUAGAAGAAAAAAUAAGAGAAAACAAAUUUCCUGGAUAAAAUAAUUGAUAAAGUGAUGGCAUCUUAGUUUGAGUUCCCUUGAAAGCAGAGCCUGAGAUAAGAACUGGGAAAGGAUAGUUUAUUUGGGACAUUAUCAUGAAGCCAGAAUGAGGGAAUGGCAAGAAUGAUACAGGGAAAGAUCAACAUAGAGGUGCAUUAUUAAUCUGGUUACCACUGUGGAAACUAGGGCUUCUCAGAAUUAUCAAAAGCUCCCCUUCCCCAGUUCCCAUUGUCCACUGAUGGAGGAUUGCUCUCUGGAACAUUGACUUCCCUAUCUUACCAGGCUUCUUAAGUACAUGGGCUCUUAUGGCUUCAUGAAGGCCCUGAGAAUGAAAGCAGAAUAACAGCUGGAUUUAGGUUGAGGUGAAAUAGUUCCAGAAUAAGUCUGAACUUUCAAAGCAUUGUCUAAUGUUGCUGCAGCUGAAAUCAGAGCUGGCAAGGGAAUGGGAUGUGGGGAUAGGUCAUGUGACACCAGGGGAAAUUACUGAAAUAUCUGACUCAAAGUAGCUAAUAUUAGCAUUUUACCCCCACAGCCACAGUGAUGGAUUUAUGGCUGGCUGUAUGACACAACCUGAGCCAGAGUCUUUCUCUAAUUUUGUUUUAAUUUGUCCUGUAAGGAAAUUACCUUUGCUUUCUAGUUGUUUGUUUAUGAGUUUGUAAACUCUUGGCCAACUAAAACCAUUCCCCUAUUACAUGGAAAUCACUAUAGCCAUAGGAAAAAAAAUCAAGAAAAGAGAAUAAAGAGACAACCGCAAAUUGGGAGAAAA